rnacentral:rRNA from 1 species
UCGGGAAUUUUGGGCAAUGGGCGAAAGCCUGACCCAGCAACGCCGCGUGAAGGAUGAAGUCUUUCGGGAUGUAAACUUCGUAAAAAUAGGAAGAAUAAAUGACGGUACUAUUUGUAAGGUCCGGCUAACCACGUGCCAGCAGCCGCGGUAAUACGUAGGGACCAAGCGUUGUUCGGAUUUACUGGGCGUAAAGGGCGCGUAGGCGGCGUAUCAAGUCAAUUGUGAAAUCUCCGGGCUUAACUCGGAACGGUCAAUUGAUACUGAUGUGCUAGAGUGUAGAAGGGGCAAUCGGAAUUCUUGGUGUAGCGGUGAAAUGCGUAGAUAUCAAGAGGAACACCUGAGGUGAAGACGGGUUGCUGGUCUAACACUGACGCUGAGGCGCGAAAGCUAGGGUAGCAAACGGGAUUAGAUACCCCGGUAGUCCUAGCCCUAAACGAUGAAUACUUGGUGUCUGGAGUUUUAUUCUCUGGGUGCCGUCGCUAACGUUUUAAGUAUUCCGCCUGGGGAGUACGCACGCAAGUGUGAAACUCAAAGGAAUUGACGG